rnacentral:rRNA from 1 species
AUUGAACGCUGGCGGCAGGCCUAAUACAUGCAAGUCGAGCGGAGCGGCGGACGGGUGAGUAAUGCCUAGGAAUCUGCCUGGUCGCGGGGGAUAACGUCAGGAAACGAGAGCUAAUAUCGCAUAGUAACAGCUGAGCUUAGGUCGGGUUAGCUAGUGGGUGGGGUAAAGGCCUAGCAAGGCGACGAUCCGUACCUGGUCUGAGAGGAGGAUCAGUCACACUGGAACUGAGACACGGUCCAGACUCCUACGGGAGGAAGCAGUGGGGAAUAUUGGACAAUGGGCGAAAGCCUGAUCCAGCCAUGCGGCGGGUGUGAAGAAGGUCUUCGGAUUGUAAAGCCCUUUAAGUGGGGAGGCGUUACCAACAGAAUAAGCACCGGCUAACUUCGUGCCAGCCGCCGCGGUAAUUC